rnacentral:sRNA from 1 species
CUUCUGCAUUAGCCGCCCUGCAGCCAGCAAAGGAGCGGCGGAGUUCCUCCUCGUCAUCGUCGUCCUCUAGCUCCUCCUCUUCAUCAUCAUCGUCGUCGUCCUCCUCCUCCUCCUCUGGCUCCAGUUCUAGUGACUCAGAGGGCUCUAGCCUUCCUGUGCAACCUGAGGUGGCACUGAAGAGGGUCCCCAGCCCCACCCCAGCCCCAAAGGAGGCUGUUCGAGAGGGACGUCCUCCGGAGCCAACCCCAGCCAAACGGAAGAGGCGCUCUAGCAGUUCCAGUUCCAGCUCCUCCUCUUCAUCUUCCUCUUCCUCUUCCUCCUCCUCUUCUUCCUCCUCCUCUUCCUCUUCUUCCUCUUCCUCCUCAUCUUCCUCCUCCUCCUCGUCUUCCUCCCCUUCCCCUGCUAAGCCUGGCCCUCAGGCCUUGCCCAAACCUGCAAGCCCCAAGAAGCCACCCCCUGGCGAGCGGAGGUGAGUGCUGCCUUGCCUGAGAUGGAAGGAGGGUGGGGGAGUGACUUGUCCAGAGAAGGGGCCCUGGGGUGUGAGCUCCCCGCUGGGUGUCUCACGUGGCCUUGGGCAUCUGGUUGUGGGGGAGGAGGCACUUGCUCUCCUCUCCCCAUGCUCGUUGCACCCUGUUCUGGCGAAGGGCUGCGCCAUCCACAGCGGCGUUCAGGCCAGGACCGGGGGUCCUUGGUUUCUUCAUCUCCCUCCCUCAACACAUAGCCUGUUCCCA